rnacentral:rRNA from 1 species
GACGAACGCUGGCGGCACGCCUAACACAUGCAAGUCGAACGGACUUAACAGAGCUUGCUUUUUUAAGUUAGUGGCGGACUGGUGAGUAACACGUGAGCAACCUGCCUCUGAGAGGGGGAUAGCUUCUGGAAACGGAUGGUAAUACCCCAUAAAAUAUAAAUAUCGCAUGAUAGCUAUAUAAAAGAAAUUCGCUAAGAGAUGUGCUCGCGUCUGAUUAGAUAGUUGGUGAGGUAACGGCUCACCAAGUCGACGAUCAGUAGCCGGACUGAGAGGUUGAACGGCCACAUUGGGACUGAGACACGGCCCAGACUCCUACGGGAGGCAGCAGUGGGGAAUAUUGCACAAUGGAGGGAACUCUGAUGCAGCGAUGCCGCGUGGAGGAAGAAGGUUUUCGGAUUGUAAACUCCUUUUAUCAGGGACGAUAAUGACGGUACCUGAAGAAAAAGCUCCGGCUAACUACGUG